UACGUAGGGUGCAAGCGUUAAUCGGAAUUACUGGGCGUAAAGCGUACGCAGGCGGCUAUGUAAGACAGGUGUGAAAUCCCCGGGCCUAACCUGGGAACUGCAUUUGUGACUGCAUAGCUAGAGUCCGUCAGAGGGGGGUGGAAUUCCACGUGUAGCAGUGAAAUGCGUAGAAAUGUGGAGGAACACCGAUGGCGAAGGCAGCCCCCUGGGAUGAGACUGACGCUCAUGUACGAAAGCGUGGGGAGCAAACAGG
rnacentral:rRNA from 1 species